rnacentral:rRNA from 1 species
UGAGGAAUAUUGGUCAAUGGACGGAAGUCUGAACCAGCCAAGUAGCGUGCAGGAUGACGGCCCUAUGGGUUGUAAACUGCUUUUGUAUGGGGAUAAAGUCAAUCACGUGUGAUUGUUUGCAGGUACCAUACGAAUAAGGACCGGCUAAUUCCGUGCCAGCAGCCGCGGUAAUACGGAAGGUUCGGGCGUUAUCCGGAUUUAUUGGGUUUAAAGGGAGCGUAGGCCGGAGAUUAAGUGUGUUGUGAAAUGUAGACGCUCAACGUCUGACUUGCAGCGCAUACUGGUUUCCUUGAGUACGCACAACGUUGGCGGAAUUCGUCGUGUAGCGGUGAAAUGCUUAGAUAUGACGAAGAACUCCGAUUGCGAAGGCAGCUGACGGGAGCGCAACUGACGCUGAAGCUCGAAGGUGCGGGUAUCGAACAGGAUUAGAUACCCUGGUAGUCCGCACAGUAAACGAUGGAUGCCCGCUGUUGGUACCUGGUAUCAGCGGCUAAGCGAAAGCAUUAAGCAUCCCACCUGGGGAGUACGCCGGCAACGGU